rnacentral:rRNA from 2 species
UGAAGUCAAGUGGGAUUACCC